AACGAACGCUGGCGGCAUGCCUAACACAUGCAAGUCGAACGAGACCUUCGGGUCUAGUGGCGCACGGGUGCGUAACGCGUGGGAACCUGCCCUUAGGUUCGGAAGAACUCCCCGAAAGGGGUGCUAAUACCGGAUAAUGUCUUCGGACCAAAGAUUUAUCGCCUUUGGAUGGGGCGGCAUUGGAUUAGCUGGUUGGUAGGGUAAAAGCCUACCAAGGCGACGAUCCAUAGCUGGUCUGAGAGGAUGAGCAGCCACACUGGGACUGAGACACGGCCCAGACUCCUACGGGAGGCAGCAGUGGGGAAUAUUGGACAGUGGGCGAAAGCCUGAUCCAGCAAUGCCGCGUGAGUGAUGAAGGCCUUAGGGUUGUAAAGCUCUUUUACCCGGGAUGAUAAUGACAGUACCGGGAGAAUAAGCACCGGCUAACUCCGUG
rnacentral:rRNA from 1 species